rnacentral:lncRNA from 1 species
CUUUCCCAAGCUGCCUGAGUAGAAGGAAACACACAGCUCCCCCAGAGCAGAGAGGCCCGCGAGAGGGAAAGCUGGCCCAGGCCCAGGGCAGGCUCGCCUCUGACUCUGCAGGGACAUUAUUCCCUCCCAGCCAGCAGGGAACUUCUGGAACUUCUAAACAGCACAUCCUCGAGCCAGCCCAGGCCCCCACAGCAUCCUGCACCCCAGGUUUACAAGCUUUUUAAUGGUUUGUCUGCCAGUGGAGUCCAUGUUUCCACCACUGUCCUACAUGGCCUCUCCUCACGAAUGGCUCCAACCUCCUGGGUGCGAUGGAUGAAGCCGGGUGCAGAGAUGGAAAGAGCAGCCCAACUUUCCUAACUGGAGGACUGAAGCGAGAGCUCUCACUGUCGGCCUAGUGUGGAUUGACUCCUUUCCACCACAUUCCCCAACCAAGGACAGUCUAUACCAAGCUCACAGCACUGAGGCGCUGGGGGAGGGCCAGCCCACACCUAGCCCCGUCAAUCUUGGUGGCAUGGACUCCCUCCUAAAGCUUUCUCAGGAGGCCCCAUUUCCUACUGCAGCGGGGCAAGAAUUCAGGAGGAGCCCACUCAAAGGGGAGACAGAGGCAGUGCUCCCUGUGAGCAGCUCUUCCUCCUCAGAGCUGUCAUGGACAAUUGGAGAGAAAAACCGGGACAUUCUCCCCAACCAGGAUAUUUUGUAUGCUUUGCACUUACUGCUGCGUUCCCUUCAUCUAAAAGCUCUAAAAUUUCAAAUAAAAAGGUACAAUGAAAGCAGCAGCAGGAUAAAUAGCCACAGUGAUCUGAGCUGAAACCCUGGAAGCUUUAUUCACAUCUUUAGAAAAACUCUGAAGGCUCCUAGUAGCAGCUGCAGUACAAAGCCUCACACUUUAAUUCUAAGGCUGCCAGAAAUAGGUCUGUCAGGCCUGAAAUAUCACUGCAUUUCAUUACUCUUAAAUGUGCAUUACCAUCUCUGCUUCAUUACCAGCUGGGGGGUAUUCUCCGGAUCAACUUCGGAGAGCACCAGGGAUCUGGGACAUAUGGGGAAGGGCAGAGGACAGAGUUGGGUCUAGAACACCCGGAUGGGCAGGAAGACCUAGUGGGCUUAAAGAUCACACCGAAGCCCACAGGAGCGGAGGAUCCAUGUUCCCAGCAGAGGAAGGCGAGCUGCACUCUCCAAGUCUGAUGUCACCCACUUGGGCGGUGAAGCCAGUAGGAGAUGGGAGAGGCAGCGGCAGGACUGCUGGGGCGGUGGAGAGGACAAUUUUUAAGCACAGAAUAGGGCUUGUGGAAGCAAUGGGUAAAGGGCCGGGGCUUUCGAGCCCAGCAGCAGGUAGGAACUGGUCAAAGGGAAAUUAGGCCAUCAAGGCCUGGGGAAAUCACAGGCACAAAGCAGCCACUGCAAAAUCCUGGAGGGAGACGGCUGCUGGAGGUUUGGAAGUUUGGAGCCUGGAGCAAUCUGCAUGUUUAUAAUAAAACUGACACUCAGGGCAGCUCUGAAUAAUUCAGUAGGCACUGUGAUCUCGUUACAGUGCAUGUCCCUGGGGUACAAAGGGAGAGGGGCUGGCUCGGCCCAGGCUGGCUGCUGCCACCAGGCUCCCUGAAAGGGCGUGACAGAUGGGCCGACACCAGCCACCACCCAGUCACGCUUCGCACGGUGAUUGGUUUUCAAAGGAGGACAGGGUUUGUGAAUGGAGCCAGCUUGUUGCUUGCUGCCUUCAAAUGGAUGCUGCUGGGUCGCGUGGCCAGCCGGGCCCCCUUGUGAAUGGGGCAUCGCCAGUGGGUGGUGAACGAGCCAGAGAUGACUCCCCGCUCCCCUCGCCUGUCAUUGCUGAAGCUGAGAUGGAGGGAAAGGGGAGCAGGGCCCCUGACCCCUUCUCUCUGCUGACGGGCUUAACCCUCCAUUGGUCCUUCUCUGCUCUAACCCUGCAUCAGUGAGAAUUACGUUCAGGCGCAUAUACCAAAAAACAAAAACAAAAAGUUAAAACUAGAUGGGAGUGUCUUUUUCUCUCAUGUAAACAAAUCCAAAGAUAACUAGUACAGACCUAGUUUGUGAGCUCCACCACCAUCAGAGACCUAGGCCCCUUUCCCCUCACUGCCCUGCCAUCCUCAGUCCUCAGCAUGCUAGUCCUGGUCCCACGUGACUGCUCAAGCUCCAACAUCAUGUCCACAUUCCAGCCAUUAGGAAAAGAAGAUGGGAAGAAGCCUCCCAGGGUGCAUGCUAGUCAUUGAAAUUUCCCAGAAGCUGCCACACACGC